UACGAAGGGGGCUAGCGUUGCUCGGAAUUACUGGGCGUAAAGCGCACGUAGGCGGACUCUUAAGUCGGGGGUGAAAGCCCAGGGCUCAACCCUGGAACUGCCUUCGAUACUGGGAGUCUUGAGUGUGGAAGAGGUUGGGUGGAACUGCGAGUGUAGAGGUGAAAUUCGUAGAUAUUCGCAAGAACACCAGUGGCGAAGGCGGCCAACUGGUCCAUUACUGACGCUGAGGUGGCGAAAAGCGGUGGGGGAGCAAACAGGGAUUAAGAAACCCUA
rnacentral:rRNA from 1 species